rnacentral:rRNA from 1 species
UACGUAGGAGGCGAGCGUUGUCCGGAGUUACUGGGCGUAAAGGGUGCGCAGGCGGCCGCGCGCGUGGGUGGUGAAAUCUCCCGGCUCAACCGGGAGGGUGCGCCGAAAACUGGAGGGCUCGAGUGUGGGAGAGGUAAGCGGAAUUCCUGGUGUAGCGGUGAAAUGCGUAGAUAUCAGGAGGAACACCUGUGGUGUAGACGGCUUACUGGACCAUUACUGACGCUGAGGCACGAAAGCGUGGGUAGCAAACAGG